rnacentral:lncRNA from 1 species
GCCCCUCUAUUUUUGGUCCUUUUACUUUUGUAGUUUGAUUCCCCCUCUGACUUCGCCGAAGCCUCCCCUUUUCCUAUUUGUUCUCUUUUCUUUUCUCCACCCGUGGCCCUUCGCUUUCUCUUCUAUUUUCCUUCCUCCGCCGUCCACUUUUCACUCUCAGCUGCCUCCCUUUCUUUUGUUUUCUGUCCGCCGUUAGUCCUUAUCUGUUUUUCUUCUAGACCUCCGUCCGCCGCCCCUAUUUCUUCCUGAAGCUUUUUUUCGAUUUCCAGUUUUUUUCUCUGUUUUUGGCUUCCCCCCAAAGCUCCCAGACC